CUCUGCCAACACCUGAUGUAUUGACCAGCAUUGAAUAACAGUGUUAUUCCAUGAUGUAUUGACCAGCGAUGUAUGGCAGUGUUACAAGCACAUAUGGAUGUUUGAGGUGAUAGACUCUGCCAACACCUGAUGUAUUGACCAGCAUUGAAUAACAGUGUUAUUCCAUGAUGUAUUGACCAGCGAUGUAUGGCAGUGUUACAAGCAUAUAUGGAUGUUUGAGGUGAUAGACUGUGCUAUGGCAAUGUCUCUUACCACUCAAAACCGUCAAAUACGUGAUUUUGCAUCAAAAUGCAAAUAUUGAAUGUAGAUUUUGCAGUGACUAUGAUAACUGUCCAGCACCUCAUCAGUGGAUGGUAUGACUCAGAAUAUGUACACACUGUCGUUAAAAAACCCUGCAGUUGUCUCUCUUGUAUAGGCUCAAUUACAGUGGCUCCUUUUAUGUUUCCAGGCCAACAAACCAAGUGAAAUGAUUAACAUCAUUGAAUUCUCUGUCCCUUUUGACAGUACUGUGACAAGAUCCUGGAAAUUAAGGGCAAAAUGGUGACCUUGCUUACAAAAUCAGAGUUUUACACAGACUUUGAAAAAUGGGAGUCAUGGUGACUCAAUGUCUACUUUUGGGAGUCAUUUUCAAUAUUUGGGAGUCAUGAAGAUUUAAUAUUUAGUUGUGUUUAUAAAUCAAAAAGCAAGAGUUUGGCAAAUA